rnacentral:misc_RNA from 1 species
UCCCCGUUGGCCGGGGCAGUCUCGCGUGAAAAAUUCAACACACGACAAGGGUUGCGCUCGUUGCGGGACUUAACCCAACAUCUCACGACACGAGCUGAAGACGGCCAUGCAGCACCUGUCACCUGAUUCCCGAAGGCACAGCGCUGUUUCCAGCGCCUUCCAGGGAUGUCAAGCCUCGGUAAGGUUCUUCGCGUAGCGUCGAAUUAAACCCCAUGCUCCACCGCUUGUGCGGGUCCCCGUCAAUUCCUUUGAGUUUUAAGCUUGCGCUCGUACUCCCCAGGCGGCAUGCUUAUCGCGUUAGCUUCUCAGCCCAAGGGGUCGAUACCUCAAACUAAUAGCAUGCAUCGUUUACGGCGUGGACUAC